CAAUAGCGUAUAUUAAUGUUGUUGCAGUUAAAAAGCUCGUAGUUGGAUCUCUAACGCACGCGGCCGGUCCGCCCCUCACGGGGUGUGCACUGCGCCGUCGUGCGUUAUCCUGGGGGAGAGCGUCCCGCGCAUUAGGUUGUGUGGGUCGGGAUCCUCCACGUUUACUCAAAAUAAAUAAGAGUGUUCAAAGCAGGCGAUUGCUGUAGAAUUCUUCUAGGUUGGAAUAAUAAGAUAGGACGUCGGGACUUAUUUUGUUGGUUUGCAUCUCCGAGUAAUGAUUAAUAGGGACAGUUGGAGAUAUUCAUAUUCAGUUGUCAGAGGUAGAAAUUUCUUGGUAUUUACGGAAGAUGAACUACUGACGAAAGCUAUUUAUCGAGGAUUG
rnacentral:rRNA from 1 species